GGAUUUCAGUGUCAUAUUUCGGUGGCACUAGCUAAGCUGUCGUGGAACUCGAGAUGACAUGUCUACUGAUAGGCAACAGGUUCAACACAAAAUACUAAUUGCAAAAGAUGCAUCCUACCUCAUCUGUUGUCGUUUGGUAUUCGAAAUUGGGCUUUUCACAAUCCAACGAUAUAUCCAAAGUGCGAACUAGUUGGUGAUGGUAUAUGGAAACUGGCAGUAUGCAUGCUACACGGAGUUCUAACAGGUGCAUGGCCUAAUAAGCAGGCAAGAUAUAACCCACGAUCGCCAUGGUCUCGUUAUCAAUUCGUGUUUGUGGUAAUAAUGGCAGCAACAAUAAAACCAUCUUGAUCUUCAUCAUUUUUGACAGAUCAGCAGCCUCUGGAUGGUCUAGUUAGCCUACUUUUAGUUUGCAUUUACAUUUUAAACACUGAAUCUACUGUCUUUACUGCCGGGAGAGAAAAAAAUCCUGUAUUCUUUUCUGUAGCCUAAUAUUCUUUUCUCGAAGUCAACUAGCCUGCUUGCAACGUCUCUCCUCAGCGAGUACGUCACUUUCACUUCUAUACUAUAACGUU